rnacentral:lncRNA from 1 species
GUAAAGAGAGAAGAGGAUUGCAGUUGUCAUCCAACUAAAAAUGCCUAAAAGCACUCAGAUGCAGUCAUAUGCUGGAUAUGAUCUGUAUUUACAUGGAUAGUUUCAAAGUGCCAGCCAGGAGUGAAAAGGUGAGCACCUGAGGGACAUGCAUUGCCCUCACUGUUGGAAGGAAAUAAUUUGUGAUCCUAGUUGUCUUUCAUUAUUGCUUAGUGUUAUUUAAUUCUUCUAUUUCAAUAAUGCCCUGAGGCUUUGAUUAAGAACUGGCAGUGAACUCGAGUGCAGUAAAACUGUUCUCACUAUUACUGCAGUUGUUCCCCAUCAAUGGAGGAAUCAUCUUUCCCUUAAGUACUCUCCUGUCAGCAGCUUGUCCUCUGAACGAUGAGAUAUGCUUGCUGGACAUUUAGCCAUGGCCUUUGAGAUAUUAGUCACUGUACUUAAUUUUGGUUUGUGUCUGCUUUUGGAGAUGCAAAAUGCUGAGCAGCCAGUGCAAAUGCUGUCAUCAUUUGAUUUCAGAUACAAAUUUGUGUUCCUGACUCCCAGCUGUGGUUCUAGUACUCCUGGUAGGUGACCUUAGGUUCCUCUGGAGUCUUACUCCACCUUGUACAAGCCUUACUCUUAACUGUUUACUCAAUAAG